AUUGAACGCUGGCGGAAUGCUUUACACAUGCAAGUCGAACGGCAGCACGGACUUCGGUCUGGUGGCGAGUGGCGAACGGGUGAGUAAUGUAUCGGAACGUGCCCAGUCGUGGGGGAUAACGUAGUGAAAAUUACGCCAAUACCGCAUACGAUCUAUGGAUGAAAGCGGGGGAUCGCAAGACCUCGCGCGAUUGGAGCGGCCGAUAUCAGAUUAGGUAGUUGGUGGGGUAAAGGCCCACCAAGCCAACGAUCUGUAGCUGGUCUGAGAGGACGACCAGCCACACUGGAACUGGGACACGUUCCAGAAUCCUACGGGAGGCAGCAGUGGGGAAUUUUGGACAAUGGGCGAAAGCCUGAUCCAGCCAUUCCGCGUGCAGGAUGAAGGCCCUCGGGUUGUAAACUGCUUUUGUACAGAACGAAAAGGUUUCUACUAAUACUAGGAGCUCAUGACGGUACUGUAAGAAUAAGCACCGGCUAACUACGUGCCAGCCGCCGCCGUAA
rnacentral:rRNA from 1 species